rnacentral:rRNA from 1 species
UGGGGAAUAUUGCACAAUGGGCGCAAGCCUGAUGCAGCCAUGCCGCGUGUGUGAAGAAGGCCUUCGGGUUGUAAAGCACUUUCAGCGGGGAGGAAGGCGGUGAGGUUAAUAACCUCAUCGAUUGACGUUACCCGCAGAAGAAGCACCGGCUAACUCCGUGCCAGCAGCCGCGGUAAUACGGAGGGUGCAAGCGUUAAUCGGAAUUACUGGGCGUAAAGCGCACGCAGGCGGUCUGUCAAGUCGGAUGUGAAAUCCCCGGGCUCAACCUGGGAACUGCAUUCGAAACUGGCAGGCUAGAGUCUUGUAGAGGGGGGUAGAAUUCCAAGUGUAGCGGUGAAAUGCGUAGAGAUCUGGAGGAAUACCGGUGGCGAAGGCGGCCCCCUGGACAAAGACUGACGCUCAGGUGCGAAAGCGUGGGGAGCAAACAGG